rnacentral:misc_RNA from 1 species
UCGUGUUCUGCUUGCUGCUGG